rnacentral:tRNA from 1 species
GGGAGAGUUCCCGAGCGGCCAAAGGGAACAGACUGUAAAUCUGUCGUCAACGACUUCAGUGGUUCGAAUCCACUCUCUCCCACCA